rnacentral:lncRNA from 1 species
GCAGCUCAGCCUUGUUGCAGCUGUAAUUAAUCCCUUCUGUUAUAAACUAAAUAGUCUGAAAAUCAUUUUCUUCAUUUGCUGCACCUGCCAUAGGAGAGCUCCUGCAACCUUCAGUGAUGCAGAGCAAACAGCCGCUGCCUUGAAGAGAAUGCUUUUCAACUCUUUGGUGCCUGCCACUUCUCCUCUCUCUUGCAUUUGAAAUCCUCCAGGAUGGAUCCUGAUGCACUGUGUAAAAGGGUGUAAAAGGGACUUUGGGAGGCAGCUGACU